GACGAACGCUGGCGGCGUGCUUAACACAUGCAAGUCGAACGAAGUGGCGAACGGGUGAGUAACGCGUAAUCAACCUGCCCUUCAGAGGGGGACAACAGUUGGAAACGACUGCUAAUACCGCAUACGGAAGGAGGGGAUUGCGUGGGCUUAGCUAGUUGGAGGGGUAACGGCCCACCAAGGCGAGUAUCAGUGGCCGGUCUGGGAGGGUGAACGGCCCCAGUGUGAAUGGGACACGGCCCAGACUCCUAAGGGAGGCAGCAGUGGGGAAUCUUCCGCAAUGGACGAAAGUCUGACGAAGCAACGCCGCGUGAGUGAUGACGGCCUUCGGGUUGGAAAGCUCUGUUAAGCGGGACGCGGUACCGGAAUAGAAAGCCACGGCUAACUACGUGCCAGCCGCCGCGGUAAUUC
rnacentral:rRNA from 1 species